UGAGUGCGGCCAUGUUCCUCGGG
rnacentral:piRNA from 1 species